rnacentral:misc_RNA from 1 species
AUAUGUGGGGUUAGAAAUGAACAAUUGAAACAAAGCUAUAACUUUCUUAUCCAUUUAACAGGUGCUGCGUCUGCCUGGGAGAAUUCGAGAUAAAAGAGGAAUUGUUGCAAGUCCCAUCAUGCAAACAUGUGUUUCAUAUUGACUGUAUGAACCAUUGGCUCAUCUCCAACUCAACUUGUCCUCUCUGUAGAUGCUCAGUCAUCCCAACAACCCGAUGUUCUGA